UUAAGAAUGCUGACAAAUCUAGAACGCUGACAAACGUCCAAAUAUUUUAAGAAUGCUGACAAAUCUAGAACGCUGACAAACUUCCAAAAAUGUUAAGAAUGCUGACAAAUCUAAAGUUUGUGCAAAGAACGUUGACAAGCACCAAUUCUCCCAACACCCCUUCAUCAACCCACGCCCGGCUCCCCACAAAAAAGGUUGACGAAAGAACGCUGACAUGCCUCCAAAAAUGUUAGACAAAGAACGCUGCCAAAUAUCUUAAAGAUUGCGCAAGAAUCCCUGACAAAUCUCCAAAAAGGUUUGUGCAAAGAACGCUGACAAAUAUCUGAAAGAUUGCGCAAUAAACCCUGACAAAUCUCAAAAAAAGGUUUGUGCAAAGAACGAUGCCAAAAAUCUGAAAGAUUGCGCAAUAAACUCUGACAAAUAUCCAAAAAGGUUUGUGCAAAGAACGCUGAUAAACCUCCAAAAGUAUGUUUAAUGAACGCCGACAAACAUGAAUUCCAUUGACAACAAGCAGUCGCUGUUUGUAAAUUAGGUAUAUGUGGUCAAACUGUGUCAGACACAUUUCUGGGCUGCAAAAUCAGUAAUAAAGGUCCACAAUGCCUUUGAUUAUAAUGUGGCUGCCACAUUUUUAUUGUCAACUUAAUCUUAUUUUUGAUAAUUGUUUCCUCAUAAUAACUGUCCAAGGUUUGAAUAUGGGUUAACACAGUAGAUAGUAUCACUUAAUUUGAUGUUUUAAUUACCUCCCUUUAUAGUUCUAAUAGUAACCCUUCAUGUUCAACUUUUCUAGCCAUCUAAGUACGCACAACAUCUAUUUGGACAACUUCUUUAUCUGUUUUUAACAUAUUUUUUUAAGCUUUAUGGAACUUAAAAAGAAUCAUACAUGGGUCAAAAUUAGAUUUUUCUUCUUGUUAGUCUUAUACUGUCUGACAUAUAUACAAGCGAUAAGAACAAUAUCUGCUUCGUCUAAUUGAUAACGGCUCAUGUACGCAGUGUCAUAACCUCAUAACCUUAAAACUAUAUAAGAUUAUUUCUAACUUUUUACAAAAAGGGAUAACAAAAAUAAUGAUAUUCUUAUGGAUGUGUUUAAUUGUGCACGGGAUUCCCGGGAUGUUGUUGUCUCAGGAUUUACCGGCAGAUAUCACACAAUCUAUGUUGGCGCUACUACAAGAAGAAACCACAUUAAGAACUAAACUUGAGCAGGACAUGGCAGAACUUGGCAAGGAACUAAACACGCUGAAAGCACUAAAAAAUAAUGUAACAUGUGAAUGUCCGUGGCACACUCAACCUGUAGCGUUUUCGGCAACUUUGACUCAGGACAUCACGUCCUUAGGAGUCCGCCAACAAAUUCCAUUCGACCAGAUAAUCACCAACAUAGGAAAUAGUUACGACAGUCGGCACGGUGAAUUUCGUGCACCCGUCACAGGAACGUACGAAUUCUCAGUUUCUAUGCUGAUGAAUCCUGGACACUGGGCAGGCGUGGAAAUAGUAAAAGAUGGGGUAGCAAUUGGCAAACUUCGAACUGGCGACAGUGCGAAAUGGACCAUGGCGGGGACGUCGGUAACGGCGGAAAUGGCCGCCGGGCAGGACGUAUGGGUGGAGCAUAUCGCUGAAAGUGACAGUAACGUGUUUUAUGGUCAAUCAUUCUCGACGUUUUCUGGACAUCUCAUCCAACCUUAAUUCGGCAGAAAAAUUUCAAAAAAACUUUCUUCAUAACUGUUUUUCUUAUUUUUCCAUUUCAGUUAGGCCGUUUAUGUGUGUAUGCACGUAUAUGAAACAAAAUCUCUUCUCCUUCGUAAAACAGCUCCCGAGAGUACAGAUAUGUUUUCUAAUGAUGCCUUAGUAAUAUGUUAUUCAAUGUUAUUUAGCUAUGUUAGUUUCCACAUGGUUUUCACUUUCUUUAUGCCUUGGCAAACCGAGGAUGUACCUCAGACUUUCAAAAAAAUGCAUAUUAUCCAUGUACUUCUAUAAAAUUCUUCCGACUUACAUCAAAAUACACCAUGAUCGAGGCAUUAAAGGUUGAUUUUCCUUCUUCUUUUUUUGUUUCCAAAAUUUCCAUAGCAACACUAAUGCAAGAACGUAAGCGUAAAGCAAAAAGGUGCUAUUUACACUUAAGGCCAGAAUUAACAGUUUUUGUAUAUUACAGUAAAUCAAAACUUAAACACAAUUUUAGCAUUAAUAAAGUUUAUCAUGGGAGAACAACAAGGUAUCAUCAAUAUAAGUUACCCAGCAGAAAGAUGCCGUAGGUCUCACAUAGGCUUGCCGACAGAAUUUUAACCCGUUUUUACUGGUUAAAGAUUCUGUUGUAACACGGUUCCAUGAACCACUGUUUCAACAUGAUCUCAUGAUCUGCUGAAUCGCCAUAACCACUGGUUUGCACAGUAACGUAAUUCUAUGAUAAUGUCUGUCCAACCAUCAUACUCAUUGUAUUUUACGACUAGUCACUGACGUUAUAAUCUGUCAUACUGCAACUGUAUAAUAGUAUAUCAAUGUUUAUCCGUAUGAAAUACUUCAGCUGAAGAAUGGAGUGAACGCGGCAACAAUCUUGAAACAAGUCAACCAUUCUACCAAAUAUCCGCUAUAUACUCUAAAACGAUUGCUAAAAGGACACUGACAAACUUCCAAAAAUGUUAAGAAUGCUGACAAAUCUAAAGUUUGUGCAAAGAACGCUGACAAGCACCCAUCCUCCCAACACCCCUUUCAUCCACUCACGCCCGACUCCCCACGAAAAAAAGUUGCCGAAAGAACGCUGACAGACCUCUAAAAUGUUAUUCAAAGAACGCUGCAAAAUAUCUUAAAAGAUUGCGCAAUAAACCCCGACAAAUCUCAAAACAAGUUUGUGCAAAGAACGCUGCCAAAUAUCUGAAAGAUAGUGCCAUACACUGACAAAUCUCCAAAACGGUUUGUGCAAAGAACGCUGCCAAAUAUCUGAACGAUUGCGCAACAAACUCAAAGGUUUGUGCAGAGUGCUGACAAACCUCAAAAAAGGGGAAAGAACGCCGACAAACACGACUUCCGUUGACAAUAUGCACGGUUACUCGCUAUUUGUAAAUUAUGUAUCCAUGGCCAAACUGUGUUAGACAUAUUUUCUGAGCUGCAAAAUCAGUACUAAUAAAAGAAUCAUACAUGAGUCAAAAUUUCUUCUUUCAAGUCUUAUACGGUCUGACAUAUAUACAAGUGAUAAGAACAAUAUUUACUUUGUCUAAUUGAUAACGGCUCAUGUACUCCAUGUCAUAACCUCAAAACCUUAAAACUGUCUUAAAACUAUAGAUCUAUAUAAAAUUAUUUCUAACUUUACCAAAAAGAAAUAACAAAAAUAAUGAUAUUCUUAUGGAUGUGUUUAAUUGUGCACGGGAUUCCCGGGAUGUUGUUGGCUCAGGAUUUACCGGCAGAUAUUACACAAUCUAUGUUGGUGUUACUACAAGAAGAAACCACAUUAAGAACUAAACUUGAGCAGGACAUGGCAGAACUUGGCAAGGAACUAAACACGCUGAAAGCUCUGAAAAAUAAUGUAACAUGUGAAUGUCCGUGGCACACUCAACCUGUAGCGUUUUCGGCAACUUUGACUCAGGACAUCACGUCCUUAGGAGUCCGCCAACAAGUUCCAUUUGACAAGAUAAUCACCAACAUAGGAAAUAGUUACGACAGUCGGCACGGUGAAUUUCGUGCACCCGUCACAGGAACGUACGAAUUAUCAGUUUCAAUGCUGAUGAAUCCCGGACACUGGGCAGGCGUGGAAAUAGUAAAAG